rnacentral:misc_RNA from 1 species
UAAAUCACUGUUUUUAUUCACUACAGUUUAUGGGUAGCCUAAAAGACAGGUCUCUAAUACACAAAGCAAUGAAAAAGCACGUGUCCCAAUUAAAAUGGUUUAGACGCUUGUAUAUGUAUUUCAGCAGGUACAUGAUAAUAAAUACUUUGCAACAAAUGAAUUUGGUGGAUAUAGAGUUAGAUUUAGAUCUUGAAGAUUGAAUGUACUAAGUCCAAUAGGAUAUUGAUCAGCUAGCUGUCUUCUAGGAUAUAUUUUCAAAAAAAUAUUUUUUAAAGAUUAAGGCAAUAUUAAGUGUUUUGCAAAUAGAUGCAUUAAAUAAAUGAACUUUUACUA